rnacentral:rRNA from 1 species
GACGAACGCUGGCGGUGUGCUUAACACAUGCAAGUCGAACGGUAAGGCCCUUUCGGGGGUACCCGAGUGGCGAACGGGUGAGUAACACGUGAGUAACCUGCCCUCAUCUCUGGGAUAACAGUCGGAAACGGUUGCUAAUACUGGAUAUGAGCUUGCAAGGCAUCUUGUGGGUUGGAAAGAUUUUUUUGGUUGGGGAUGGACUCGCGGCCUAUCAGCUUGUUGGUGAGGUAGUGGCUCACCAAGGCUUCGACGGGUAGCCGGCCUGAGAGGGCGACCGGCCACAUUGGGACUGAGGUACGGCCCAAACUCCUACGGGAGGCAGCAGUGGGGAAUAUUGCACAAUGGACGGAAGUCUGAUGCAGCAACGCCGCGUGCGGGAUGACGGCCUUCGGGUUGUAAACCGCGUUCAAUUGUGACGAAGCUUUUUGUGACGGUAGCAGUAGAAGAAGCACCGGCUAACUACGUG